rnacentral:piRNA from 1 species
UAUAUAUAAGUUAAGUUAAAAUUUGGUAUC